rnacentral:rRNA from 1 species
GAUGAACGCUGACAGAAUGCUUAACACAUGCAAGUCUUUGGCGAAGCUGUGCUUGCACCGCCUAGCCAAGGCGGACGGGUGAGUAACGCGUAAGGAACUUGCCCUGCAGUCAGGGAUAACAGACGGAAACGACUGAUAAGACCUGGUAAAGUCAGGCGGACUCAUGUCCAGCCUGAUGAAAAGAGAUGCUGCAGGAGAGCCUUGCGUCCUAUUAGCUUGUUGGUGGGGUAACGGCCCACCAAGGCGAUGAUAGGUAGCCGGCCUGAGAGGGUGGACGGCCACAAGGGGACUGAGAGACGGCCCUUACGCCUACGGGAGGCAGCAGUGGGGAAUAUUGGACAAUGGGGGCAACCCUGAUCCAGCAAUUCUGUGUGCACGAUGAAGGUUUUCGGAUUGUAAAGUGCUUUCAGCAGGGAAGAAAAAAAUGACGGUACCUGCAGAAGAAGCGACGGCUAAAUACGUG